rnacentral:rRNA from 1 species
GACGAACGCUGGCGGCGUGCCUAAUACAUGCAAGUAGAACGCACAGUUUAUACCGUAGCUUGCUACACCACAGACUGUGAGUUGCGAACGGGUGAGUAACGCGUAGGUAACCUGCCUGGUAGCGGGGGAUAACUUUUGGAAACGAUAGCUAAUACCGCAUAAUAUUGAUUAUUGCAUGAUAAUUGAUUGAAAGAUGCUAUUGCAUCACUACCAGAUGGACCUGCGUUGUAUUAGCUAGUAGGUGAGGUAACGGCUCACCUAGGCGACGAUACAUAGCCGACCUGAGAGGGUGAUCGGCCACACUGGGACUGAGACACGGCCCAGACUCCUACGGGAGGCAGCAGUAGGGAAUCUUCGGCAAUGGACGAAAGUCUGACCGAGCAACGCCGCGUGAGUGAAGAAGGUUUUCGGAUCGUAAAGCUCGGUUGUAAGAGAAGAACGGGUGUGAGAGUGGAAAGUUCACACUGUGACGGUAUCUUACCAGAAAGGGACGGCUAACUACGUG